GUUGCAGGAUCUCACGGGCUUUAAACUGCGGCUCCGCGGCGCGCGGGUGCGGAUCCCCAGAUGGGAGCUGGGGAUGGGUUGGUUGCCCGGCGGGUGGCAAGUUGCCGCCUCGGGCCCCGGAGACCUUCACCCCGCCGCCUACCCAGGCGGGCCGGCCCUGCCCGUCCACCGGCGGCCGAGAGUCCCCGGCCUUGGGCCCCAGGAGCCGCUGACUGGCCUCGGUCAACUCUCGGGGAAGACUCCCGCGUCUCCAUCUGCCCCAGGAAGGGACCCGCUUCUCGCCCGCGAGGCUUCUCCAGGUGGGAUCGCCCUGGCCCCCGGCCCUAAGGGACCCGCCCCCUCCGAGCAUCCACCGCCCCUCGGAGACCACUCCAGCUCAGAGGGACCCACUCCAGCCACCGCUGCACGCGGGAGCUCUCAUCCUUCCCACCUGCUCCGUCCCUCCUCCUCCUCCUGUGGGACCACCAGAGACCCCAGCUCCCCGCUCCCCAAGUGUGGGGCCUCCGACGCGAACGCCUCUGCUCGCAAGGCGGUGAGCGCAGAUCCCACGGGGCCCUCGGUCGGGGGUCAAGGCUGCCUCCGUUUCCAUCCCGGACCCGACAAUGGGCCGGAAAAAGACUUUGCACGACUGCGCGGCGGAGUUCACCGACCUGGUGGUGUAGCAGCCCCUGACUGAGCACAGUGACUCUGGGGACACGUCUGUGGUGGAGACUCUUUCCUGCACGGCCUGCGAGCUGCCUAUGCGCGUGCCCAGGGACCGCAUCCCGGAGCACCUGUCCUCGGGCAGGCACUACAGGAACCGCAGACUCAUCCGCAGCACGGCCUGCGGACGCCCAUUCUCGUCUCGGCCGCCUCGGAUCUCACUGCCACCGGCCUUCACGCACACCCUCGCCACCAGCCUUUGGCCCGUCAGCCUCAGCCCCAGCUCAUUCCCUCAGGCAGUCCCAGCAUUGGCAUGGUACCUCCUCCCGCCGUGGGCCUCACGUCUCUGCUCCCUGUCAACCCUACUGCCAUCAGCAUCACCACAAGCGACUUGUCUGCCCAGGAGGAUGCAACACCAUCUACCUCCACCGGCCACCUUUCAGUGUUUUCUGCUUUCCAAGUAAAGACACCAGCAGUGCCCUCGGAGCGGACCAGCCAGAGAUUUUCGGAAGCCUCCCAUAGGCUCCUCCGUGGAGGAGGCCUGAGAUGGUGUCAUGACUUUGGAGCCAGGGUGGCCGACCACCUUGGCCUGGCCAUCUUUGGGGUGGGCUUUGGGAGCCCAGCACUGCUGCCAAGUGUGGUGGAUGAGAACGGCUGCUGCUUGCUGUACGUGGUGGAGCUGUGUGGCGUGGAGCGAGCCUUCAGAGCUGAGCAUUUGGCCAACACCAGAGUGGUUCGGGAACAGGAUGCCGACAUUGUCCUCAACGACCAGCGCGUCUCUGGAGUAGUUGUCUGCUCCCCGCCGGAGGCAGCUUCUGAAAUCGUGAUGCAUGCUCUCCGAGCAGAAUCUGGCGUCUCCCAAUCUCUGAUGGAGUCUCACUCUGUCCCCCAGGCUGGAGGGCAGUGGUGCGAUCUCAGCUCACUGCAACCUCCACCGCCGGGUUCAAGCAAUUCUCCUGCCUCAGCCUGUGGAGUAGCUGGAACUACAGGCACGUGCCACCACGCCAAUCAUUUUGUGUGUCUGUUAUCUG
ensembl:lncRNA